UGGUGGCUUUAUGAAGGUGCUUUGAUCAAGAGAUUUAUCUCGCUUUCCUGCAUUGCCUGGCGUGCGCACGAAGUAGAGAGCCUACAGUUCCAGGUCUAUGCGAAAGUUGAAUCCAGAUUUUGGACAUUUGAUCUCCAAUUUUGCUACAAUCCAGAUAAAGAUUUGAUCUUUAUUCAGAUAGAUUUAUAAAAAAUUGAUAGAUGCAACUCUAGUUAUCCAUAAGAAACAGGUUUCUUUCCCUUCACAGAGCUCUCAAUAGGUGAGUCACUUAUUCAGUGACGAUGUACUCCUAUA
rnacentral:lncRNA from 1 species